GUGCUAUCUUAUCUGGCCCUUCAUUUGAAUACUUUCAUUCUAACCAUGCUAGUUUUAUUCAUUUUUUUAAUUUUAAUAUUUCGUGGUCAUCUCUUAAUGUUUACCAUUGCUUUCAUUCAUAGCAGGAUACAUAGUGUCAUACUCUUAAUAUAUCAUUGCGUGAAGCUUAAAAGAUAUUGUUUGGAAUCCAUCUUAAUUUUAUCCCAUGCAUUAUAUCAACUUUUAUCCCCUAUUCUAAUUAUUGAGGGUUGCUGAAUUUGGUUUCAUUUCAUUUAAUGAUUUGUAGUGUGUUUAUUCAUAAGCUGGUAAUGAUUAAUUCUCUUGUUUUCAGGGGAUGAAUCCAUUAAUAGCAAUA
rnacentral:misc_RNA from 1 species